rnacentral:rRNA from 1 species
AUUGAACGCUGGCGGCAGGCCUAACACAUGCAAGUCGAGCGGAUGAAGGGAGCUUGCUCCUGGAUUCAGCGGCGGACGGGUGAGUAAUGCCUAGGAAUCUGCCUGGUAGUGGGGGAUAACGUCCGGAAACGGGCGCUAAUACCGCAUACGUCCUGAGGGAGAAAGUGGGGGAUCUUCGGACCCCACGCUAUCAGAUGAGCCUAGGUCGGAUUAGCUAGUUGGUGGGGUAAAGGCCUACCAAGGCGACGAUCCGUAACUGGUCUGAGAGGAUGAUCAGUCACACUGGAACUGAGACACGGUCCAGACUCCUACGGGAGGCAGCAGUGGGGAAUAUUGGACAAUGGGCGAAAGCCUGAUCCAGCCAUGCCGCGUGUGUGAAGAAGGUCUUCGGAUUGUAAAGCACUUUAAGUUGGGAGGAAGGGCAGUAAGUUAACACCUUGCUGUUUUGACGUUACCAACAGAAUAAGCACCGGCUAACUUCGUG